AGAUGAAGAACGUAGCGAAAUGCGAUAAGUAAUGUGAAUUGCAGAGUUCAGUGAAUCAUCGAAUCUUUGAACGCACAUUGCGCCCGCCAGUAUUCUGGCGGGCAUGCCUGUUCGAGCGUCAUUUCAACCCUCAAGCACUGCUUGGUGUUGGUGGCCUGCGGCGCCCCCAGCGGCCCGCAGCCGCCCAAAUGCAUUGGCGGACCCGCCGUGGCUCCCUGCGUAGUAGCUAACCUCGCACCGGGCCUCGGCGGCGCCCUGCCGUAAAACCCCAACUUCUCAAGGUUGACCUCGGAUCAGGUAGGAAUACCCGCUGAACUUAAGCAUAUCAAUAAGCGGAGGA
rnacentral:misc_RNA from 1 species